rnacentral:rRNA from 1 species
GACGAACGCUGGCGGCGUGCUUAACACAUGCAAGUUGUACGGUACGACAUGGAAGCUUGCUGAAGUGUCGUAGAGUAGCGAACGGGUGAGUAAUGCAUGAGAAUCUGCCCUUUGGAGGGGGACAACAGCUGGAAACGGCUGCUAAUACCCCGUAAGCCGGGAGGUGAAAGGUACGCGAGUACUGCCGGGGGAUGAGCUCAUGUCCUAUCAGCUGGUUGGUGGGGUAACGGCCCACCAAGGCGACGACGGGUAGCCGGCCUGAGAGGGUGACCGGCCACACUGGAACUGAGACACGGUCCAGACUCCUACGGGAGGCAGCAGUGGGGAAUUUUGGGCAAUGGGCGCAAGCCUGAUCCAGCCAUGCCGCGUGCAGGAUGAAGGCCUCGGUUGUAACUAGCUUUGUACGGAACGAAAGACUACUGGAUAAUACCUGGGUCCGAUGACGGUACCGUAACGAAUAAGACACCGGCUAACUACGUAGCCAGCAGCCGCGGUAAAACGUCUACU